CGGCGGAGCACCGGGCGCCGAAUAUGAUGCAGCGGGUCAUCAGCCUCUUCAGCAGCGUUCGACCCGGAUCCGAUCUCACCAACUUUCAGCUUCCUCCUCUCUUCAACCUACCAAAGUCACAGCUUCAAUGCUAUGGGGAAGCCGUGUAUUGUGUUGGUGAGGACUUCUUGAGCAGGUGUGCUCAGGGGAAGAACAGCCUCGAGAGGUUCACCUCUGUUGUUGCCUGGAGCAUAUCAACCACACGGCCUGCACUUUUUGGCUCGGCUCCUUAUAAUCCCAUCCUUGGAGAGACCCAUCAUGUUUCGAAUGGAAAUCUCAAUGUUCUCCUUGAACAGGUCUCACAUCAUCCUCCAGUGUCGGCUCUCCAUGCAACUGACGAAAAGGAGAAGGUAGAACUAGUAUGGUGGCAUAAUCCGGUACCCAAGUACUAUGGCACCAGUGUCGAAGCCGUCAUCAAUGGAAAGCGGCAUUUGAGACUUUUGAGUUUUGGUGAGAACUAUGAGAUGGAUUCACCAAGAUUGCUAAUCAAAAUACUUCCACGACCAAGUGCUGAUUGGGUUGGG
rnacentral:misc_RNA from 1 species